CCUACGGGGGGCAGCAGUGAGGAAUAUUGGUCAAUGGACGGAAGUCUGAACCAGCCAUGCCGCGUGCAGGAGGACGGUUCUAUGAAUUGUAAACUUCUUUUGUCCGGGGACAAACACCGGUACGUGUAUCUGGCUGAGAGUACCGUAAGAAAAAGCAUCGGCUAACUCCGUGCCAGCAGCCGCGGUAAUACGGAGGAUGCGAGCGUUAUCCGGAUUUAUUGGGUGUAAAGGGUGGGUAGGCGGGUUGAUAAGUCAGCUGUGAAAACCCGGGGCUUAACCCCGGCCCUGCGGUUGAAACUGUUGAUCUUGAGUUGUGGAGAGGCAGACGGAAUGCGUAGUGUAGCGGUGAAAUGCGUAGAUA
rnacentral:rRNA from 1 species